AUGGAUCUGUCCAACCUGACCCUGGUGCUGCGCGCGGCGCUCAGCCACGCCCCCGAGGAGCGCAAAGCUGCUGAGGCCAGCCUCGAGCAGCUUCAGUAUACGCAACAACAUCUGGUGAGAUUGUUACAGAUCAUCGUCGAUGGAAGUUGUGAUAUGGCUGUGAGACAGGUCGCAAGCAUUCACUUCAAGAACUUUGUUUCAAAAGCCUGGUCACCUAUUGAUCCUGAUGAAACACGUAAAAUUCCAGAAGGUGACAAGUCUAUGGUUCGUGAGAAUAUACUGGGCUUUGUUACUCAAUUGCCUCCACUGCUAAGAGCACAGCUUGGAGAAAGUAUCAAGACCUUGAUCCUUGCGGAUUACCCUGAGCAGUGGCCUAGUCUUCUACAUUGGGUUACACAUAACAUGGAAUCACAGGAUCAAAUUUUCGGAGCACUUUAUGUGCUAAGGAUCCUAUCCCGGAAAUAUGAGUUCAAAUCAGAGGAGGAAAGGAUACCUUUGUAUCAAAUUGUUGAGGAGUGUUUUCCUCGUUUGUUGAAUAUAUUCAGCACACUUGUCCAGAUUGUGAAUCCUCCAAUUGAAGUUGCUGACUUGAUCAAGCUGAUCUGCAAAAUAUUCUGGUCCUCAAUUUAUCUAGAAAUUCCAAAGCAACUGUUUGAACCAAACAUCUUCAAUGCAUGGAUUGUUCUAUUCUUAAACUUGUUGGAAAGGCCAGUUCCAUUGGAAGGGCAACCAUCUGAUCCUGACGCUAGGAAAGCUUGGGGCUGGUGGAAAGUCAAGAAAUGGAUUACCCAUAUCUUGAACCGUUUAUACAGUCGGUUUGCUGAUAUGAAGGUUCAUAAACCAGAGAGUAAAGCUUUUGCUCAAAUGUUUCAAAAGAACUAUGCUGGAAAAAUUCUGGGAUGCCAUCUACAGUUGCUCAAUGCAAUUCGCACUGGUGGCUAUUUGCCUGAUAGGGUUAUCAAUCUUAUCCUUCAAUAUCUCACCAACAGUCUCACAAAGAACAGCAUGUACCAGCUGAUGCAACCACAAAUUGACAUAAUUCUUUUUGAGAUAAUAUUUCCACUAAUGUGCUUCAAUGACAAUGACCAAAUGUUAUGGGAUGAAGAUCCACAUGAGUAUGUUCGGAAAGGCUAUGAUAUAAUUGAAGAUUUGUAUAGUCCUCGAACAGCUGCUAUGGAUUUUGUCAGCGAAUUGGUAAGAAAACGGGGAAAAGGCAACCUACAAAAGUUCAUCCAAUUUAUUGUGGAGAUAUUCAUGAGGUAUAAUGAGGCAUCAAUUGAAGUGAAGCCCUAUCGCCAAAAAGAUGGUGCCCUUCUUGCCAUUGGGACAUUAUGUGAUAGGCUGAAACAAACUGAUCCGUACAAGGCUGAGCUAGAGCGAAUGUUAGUUCAGCAUGUCUUUCCAGAGUUCAGUAGUCAUGUUGGGCACUUGCGUGCGAAGGCAGCAUGGGUGGCAGGGCAGUAUGCGCACAUCACCUUCUCAGACCAGGACAAUUUUCGCAAAGCUAUGCAUUGUGUAAUCUCUGGUUUGCGUGAUCCAGAACUUCCUGUCAGGGUCGAUUCAGUCUUUGCUCUCCGUUCUUUCGUUGAAGCAUGCAAAGAUCUGGAUGAGAUCCGUCCUAUCCUUCCACAGCUUCUUGAUGAAUUUUUUAAGCUUAUGGGUGAAGUUGAGAAUGAGGAUCUUGUUUUCACUCUCGAGACAAUUGUUGAUAGAUUUGGUGAAGAGAUGGCACCAUAUGCCCUUGGCUUGUGCCAGAGUUUGGCUGCUGCCUUCUGGAGAUGCAUGGCUAGUUCAGAAGCUGAUGAUGAAGUAGAGGACUCUGGUGCUUUGGCUGCUGUUGGUUGCUUACGUGCUUUAAGCACAAUCCUUGAGUCCAUUAGCAGUCUUCCCCAUCUUUUUAUCCAAAUAGAGCCCACUUUGUUGCCUAUUUUGCGCAGGAUGUUGACUUCGGAUGGUCAAGAUGUUUAUGAAGAGGUUCUAGAAAUAGUGUCCUAUCUGACCUUUUACUCACCAACAAUUUCUUUGGACAUGUGGAGCUUGUGGCCAUUGAUGAUGGAGGCUCUUAAUGAUUGGGCCAUUGAUUUCUUUGAGAAUAUUCUUGUCCCACUAGACAAUUACAUUUCUCGUGGCACUGAACAUUUUGUUACCUGCAAAGAUCCUGAUUAUCAACAAUGCUUAUGGAAAGGACUGUCAUCUGUUAUGACAGACCAAAAUAUGGAAGAUUCAGAUAUUGUGCCGGCACCCAAGCUCAUUGAAGUGUUUUUCCAAAACUGCAAAGGGCAAGUUGAUCAUUGGGUUGAGCCGUAUCUCAGGCUUACGAUUGAUAGGCUCCGUCGAGCAGAGAAGCCUUAUCUGAAAUCUCUCCUUGUGCAAGUGAUAGCUAACGUAUUCUACUACAAUCCUUCGUUGACACUUGCAAUGUUGCACAAACUUGGAGUUGCGACAGAAAUUUUCAAUCUUUGGUUUGUCAUGUUACAACAAGUGAAAAAAAGUGGCAAGAGGGUGAACUUCAAAAGAGAGCAUGACAAGAAAGUCUGCUGCUUAGGAUUGACUUCACUUAUUGGACUUCCAGCUAAUCAUAUUCCAGCAGAGGCUCUAGAACGCAUUUUCAAGGCAACACUGGAGCUGCUUGUUGCAUACAAGGAGCAAGUUGCAGAAUCUAAGAGGCAAAAUGCUGCUGCUGCUGAUGAUGUGGAUGAAUUUGAUGCUGAUGAAGAAGAGAAUGAGGAGGAUGAGGAUGAUGGGGAGAUGGGGGUUGAUGAUGAAGAUCAGGAUGAAGUAAAUAGUCUUAAUAUACAGAAGCUAGUGCAGGCAAGAGGUUUUCAGCUCCAUGAUGAGGAUGAUGAUGAUGAUGAUUCUGAUGAUGAUUUUAGUGAUGACGAGGAGCUGCAGACCCCGAUAGAUGAGGUUGAUCCAUUUAUCUUCUUUGUUGGAACCAUCCAAGCUGUACAAGCAUCCGACCCAGCCAGGUUCCAGAGCCUUAUGCAGACACUGGAUUUUCACUACCAGGCACUGGCUAAUGGCGUUGCUCAGCAUGCCGAGGAAAGAAAAGUUGAAAUUGAGAAAGAGAAGUUGGAGAAAGCAAAUGCACAGUGA
rnacentral:rRNA from 1 species